AGUGAACGCUGGCGGCAGGCCUAACACAUGCAAGUCGAACGGCAGCACAAGAGAGCUUGCUCUCUGGGUGGCGAGUGGCGGACGGGUGAGGAAUGCAUCGGAAUCUGCCCAUUUGUGGGGGAUAACCUCGGGAAACCGGGACUAAUACCACAUACGACCUACGGGUGAAAGCAGGGGAUCUUCGGACCUUGCGCAGAUGGAUGAGCCGAUGCCGGAUUAGCUAGUUGGAGGGGUAAAGGCCCACCAAGGCGACGAUCCGUAGCUGGUCUGAGAGGAUGAUCGCCCCACUGGGACAUAGCACACGGCCCAACCCCCCAGGGGGGGCAGCAGGGGGGAAUUUUGAACAAUGGGGCCAACCCUGGUCCCGCCAUGCCGCGUGUGGAAAGAAGGCCUUCGGGUUGUAAAACCUUUUUGUGGGGAAAAAAAAGCAGCCGGUUAAUCCCCGGUUUUCAUGCCGGUCCCCAAAGAAUAAGCCCCGCCUAACUUCGU
rnacentral:rRNA from 1 species